rnacentral:rRNA from 1 species
UCUUGCACAAUGGGGGCAACCCUGAUGCAGCCAUGCCGCGUGCGCGACGACGGUCUUCGGAUUGUAAAGCGCUUUUGGCGGGGACGACGAUGACGGUACCCGCAGAAGAAGUCACGGCUAACUUCGUGCCAGCAGCCGCGGUAAUACGAAGGUGGCGAAUGUUGUUCGGAUUUACUGGGCGUAAAGCGUCCGCAGGUGGUUUGUUAAGUCAGGUGUGAAAGCCCCGCGCUCAACGUGGGAAUUGCACUUGAAACUGGCGAACUAGAAGGCGAGAGAGGAGGGCGGAAUUACCGGUGUAGAAGUGAAAUUCGUAGAUAUCGGUAGGAACACCCAUGGCGAAGGCAGCUCUCUGGCUCGCUCUUGACACUCAUGGACGAAAGCGUGGGGAUCAA